rnacentral:rRNA from 1 species
UACGAAGGGGGCUAGCGUUGUUCGGAAUGACUGGGCGUAAAGGGCGCGUAGGCGGCUUUUUAAGUCAGGCGUGAAAGCCCUGGGCUCAACCCAGGAACGGCGCUUGAUACUGAGAGGCUAGAGGACGGGAGAGGAUGGUGGAAUUCCCAGUGUAGAGGUGAAAUUCGUAGAUAUUGGGAAGAACACCGGUGGCGAAGGCGGCCAUCUGGACCGUUACUGACGCUGAGGCGCGAAAGCGUGGGGAGCAAACAGG